AGCCUGUACCAUAACCGACACAGGUGGGUAAGUAGAGUAUACUAAGGGGCGCGAGAUAACUCUCUCUAAGGAACUCGGCAAAAUAACUCCGUAACUUCGGGAGAAGGAGUGCCUUAUUCUUAAGGUUGCAAUAACAAGAUCCAAGCAACUGUUUAUCAAAAACACAGGUCUCCGCUAAGUCGUAAGACGAUGUAUGGGGGCUGACGCCUGCCCAGUGCCAGAAGGUUAAAGAAGUCGGUUAGCAAUAGCAAAGCUGGUAACUGAAGCCCUGGUGAACGGCGGCCGUAACGAUAACGGUCCUAAGGUAGCGAAAUUCCUUGUCGGGUAAGUUCCGACCCGCACGAAAGGCGUAAUGAUUUGGAUGCUGUCUCGGAGAGGGGCUCGGUGAAAUAGACUUGUCUGUGAAGAUGCGGACUACCUGCACCAGGACAGAAAGACCCUAUGAAGCUUUACUGUAACUUGAAAUUGAAAUUGGACUUUAUUCGCGCAGUAUAGGUGGGAGGCGUUGAUUAUAAUCUUGUGGGAUUAUUGGAGCCAUCAGUGAGAUACCACUCUUGUAAUGUUAGAUUUCUAACUUUGAAUCAUUAUCUGGUCAAAGGACAGUUUCAGGCGGGCAGUUUGACUGGGGCGGUCGCCUCCUAAACGGUAACGGAGGCGUACAAAGGUUUCCUCUGAACGGUUAGAAAUCGUAUCUAGAGUGUAAAGGCAUAAGGAAGCUUGACUGUGAGACCUACAAGUCGAGCAGGGACGAAAGUCGGUCUUAGUGAUCUGACGGUACUGAGUGGAAAGGCCGUCACUCAACGGAUAAAAGUUACUCUAGGACAACAGGCUGAUCUCCCCCAAGAGUUCACAUCGACGGGGAGGUUUGGCACCUCGAUGUCGGCUCAUCGCAUCCUGGGGCGGUAGUACGUCCAAGGGUUGGGCUGUUCGCCCAUGAAAGCGGUACGCGAGCUGGGUUCAGAACGUCGUGAGACAGUUCGGUCCAUAUCCGGUGUAGGCGCUAGAAUAUUGAGAGGAGCCUUCUUUAGUACGAGAGGACCGAGAAGGACAUACCUCUGGUGUACCAGUUAUCGUGCCAACGGUAAACGCUGGGUAGCUAUGUAUGGAGUGGAUAACCGCUGAAAGCAUCUAAGUGGGAAGCCCACCUCAAGAUAAGUAUUCUCAUCACGUAAGUGAGUAAGGUCACGGUAAGACUAACCGUUUGAUAGGCAUUAAGUGCAAGUACAGUAAUGUAUGUGCUGAGAUGUCCUAAUAGACCGAGGACUUGAAU
rnacentral:rRNA from 1 species